CGCAGCGUAACGCGGCGAGAGAAACACACGUCCAAGUCUCCACCCCCCCAUCCAUUCUCCUCUGUGCCUUGGUGCAUCUCUUUGGCUACGCAAGAGAGCGCAAUGGCGUGUUUCGCUGCCGUCGAGGCCCCAGAGCUGCCGCCUGGUAUGGAUCCGGCCUACUACGCCCUCAGCCUGCUGCGUCGGCGUAGGCUGGAGGAGUGCAUCAAGGUCUCCACCCACUACCUCACUCUGGCCACCACCCCGAAGUGCGCUGGCUCUCCAACAGGCGCCACGGCUACAACACCGCCCAGCACCGGCUUCAUGGAUGAGAGCAUGUGGUUCAUCCAGACCAAGGCGAUGGUGCUGCAGAGCUGGUACGACGAUGCAGAAAUCGAGGAUGACGGUGUCGAUGACGUGCUCAUGGAAGGUGAGCAGGCCGUCGUAAGCACGUUGCACCGGCCCAACACGUCCCUACGGGCGGCGCGGCAGGGCACCGCAGGCGGCGGUACGGCUGCUGGCGCUGUUGGUCGCGCUGGUCGACUUGGAACGUCAGCCGGCGGUGGCCGGCCAGUGAGCAGCCGCUACGGCUACGCGCGGCCUGGCACGCUGCAGAACCGUCCCGGCUCCGUCCGCAGCGGUCCGGAUGGCACGGCGGUGCGUCCUGUCACCGGCCGCUUCGUUCGGAUCGGCACUGCCUCCCUGCGGUCCGUAACAGGUGGGCCGCACAUCAACUUGCAGGCACUCAACCUUGAGCGCUACGCGCAGGAGAAGCCAAUGGUAGCCAAACUGCUCUGCGACUACCUCCUCUACGUCGAGCACAAGCCCAAAAUGGCAUUGGAGCUCUGCACGGCAGCGCUGCGCCCAGUCAAGCCUGUGACGACGCCAGCGAUCCCGCUGCCUUCAGCGCCCGGCGUUGCUGCCAAGCUGCCCAUGGGCGUCGCUGCCGGAGCCGGCGUGGGUCCAUCGUCCCUGCCCCCUCCCGGGAAGACCGCCGCGGUGUCUGCGGCGCAGGAGCAGGUCGGCAUAGCGAACACGAAUGACUGGUGGUGGAAGGCGCGCCUGGCCAAGGCGAACUACCAGCUGGGGCUGCUGCGGGAGGCGGAGAAGUACCUCAAAGCCGCUCUCUUCGACUCACCAACCAGCACCAGCGUCGGAGCAGGGAUGUUAGCGAAGGAGUCGAAGGCGUGGCCAGGCGGUGGCGGUAGUGGCGGCGGCUUUCAAAAGGGCCGUGCCUUCGCCAACUACAACACAAGCGUGGUCAUGCAACUGGGCAAGGUGUACCUCAAGAUGGACCAGCCACUGACAGCUCUCGAGACAUACGAGGCGGCGCUCGAGGUGAACCCGGUUGACCACCACAUAGUCCUCUGCUGUGCGCGUCUACGCGACGAGCUGCAUGAGCCCGGCACCGCCUACGACCUCUACAACCAAGUGCUGCACCUCGAUAGCAGCAAUAUCGAGGCCAUCGCCUGCAUCGGCGCGCACCUCUUCUACGAGCGCAACCAACCAGAGCUGGCGCUGCGCUACUACCGCCGCCUGCUGCAGAUGGGCUUGCACACGUCAGAGGUGUGGACGAACAUGGGACUCUGCGCCUUCUACACGUUCCAGAUGGAGCUUAGUCUGCGCUGCCUGUCCCAUGCGCUAGCGCUAUGCAAGGAGGACAGUCAGCGCGCAGAUGUGUGGUACAACAUCGGGCACGUGGGCAUCGGGAUGGGCAACAUGGCCUUCGCUGAGCGCGCCUUCCGUCUUGCCGUCAGUGCCGACGUCACGCACGCCGAGGCGCUGAACAACCUGGCGGUGUUGGCCUACGAGAAAAGAAAGGAGAAGACCGGGCGUCGCCUCCUCGACACGGCGGUGCUCGUGGCGCCGGGACUGACGGAGGCGCUGUACAACACCGCCGUCAUCUCCUUCCAGGCAGGUGAGCUGGAGUUGUCGCAUCAGAUGGUGAUGCGGGUGCUGGAGGCAGAACCAGACCACCCGGAGGCGGUGGUGCUACAAGGCAAGCUGCGCGAGCGCUUCCUCGCGAUUUAGACACGCCACCUGGUCGAUCAGCGCCUUCCCCACCGCUGCUGCUGCUGCUGCAGCUGCAGUUUCGGGUACUCGCCCACACACGCACACGCACACACCACCACCACCUGCAUAUGCGGUGUUCUAUGAAGCGGGGCACGCGCAAGCAUCAUGACUAGAGCACCGUGCGUAUGUGUGUGCGCGUGCGCACGUGCGCUUGUAUAGCAAUGCUGUGAUAGCCUGUGCGUGGCCACACCCGCGAAU
rnacentral:misc_RNA from 1 species